rnacentral:rRNA from 1 species
UACGUAGGGUGCAAGCGUUGUCCGGAAUUAUUGGGCGUAAAGAGCUCGUAGGCGGUUUGUCGCGUCGAAUGUGAAAACCCGGGGCUCAACCCCCGGGCCUGCAUUCGAUACGGGCAGGCUAGAGUUCGGUAGGGGAGUCUGGAAUUCCUGGUGUAGCGGUGAAAUGCGCAGAUAUCAGGAGGAACACCGGUGGCGAAGGCGGGACUCUGGGCCGAUACUGACGCUGAGGAGCGAAAGCGUGGGGAGCGAACAGG